rnacentral:rRNA from 1 species
GAUGAACGCUAGCGGCAGGCCUAAUACAUGCAAGUCGAACGGGCGGUAGCAAUACUGCUAGUGGCGCACGGGUGCGUAACGCGUAACCAACCUGCCCAGAUCUGGGGGAUAGCCCGCCGAAAGGCGGAUUAAUACCGCAUAAACCCACAGUGUGGCAUCACAUAAUGGGUAAAGAUUUAUCGGAUCUGGAUGGGGUUGCGUAGCAUUAGCUAGUUGGCGGGGUAAUGGCCCACCAAGGCGACGAUGCUUAGGGGACCUGAGAGGGUGAUCCCCCACACUGGCACUGAGAUACGGGCCAGACUCCUACGGGAGGCAGCAGUAGGGAAUAUUGGGCAAUGGGCGAGAGCCUGACCCAGCCAUGCCGCGUGCCGGAUGAAGGCCUUCUGGGUUGUAAACGGCUUUUCUCAGGGAAGAAAACGGGGAUGCGUCCUCAACUGACGGUACCUGAGGAAUAAGCACCGGCUAACUCCGUG